rnacentral:rRNA from 1 species
UACGGAGGGGGCUAGCGUUGUUCGGAAUUACUGGGCGUAAAGCGCACGUAGGCGGACCAUCAAGUUAGGGGUGAAAUCCCGGGGCUCAACCCCGGAACUGCCCUUAAGACUGCUGGUCUGGAGUUCGAGAGAGGUGAGUGGAAUUCCGAGUGUAGAGGUGAAAUUCGUAGAUAUUCGGAGGAACACCAGUGGCGAAGGCGGCUCACUGGCUCGAUACUGACGCUGAGGUGCGAAAGCGUGGGGAGCAAACAGG